rnacentral:tRNA from 1 species
GCCUGGCUGGCUCAGUGGGUAGAGCAUGCAACUCUUAAUCUUGGGGUGAGUUCAAGCCCCACGUUGGGUG